rnacentral:rRNA from 1 species
AAACGAUGCCACCAGUAAUUCGCCUGAGUUCCUUAAAUGACUCGGCGAGGGACUUCCGGGAAACCAAAGUCUUUCGGUUCCAGGGGAAGUAUGGUUGCAAAGCUGAAACUUAAAGAAAUUGACGGAAGGGCACCACCAGGAGUGGAGCCUGCGGCUUAAUUUGACUCAACACGGGAAAACUCACCCGGCCCGGACACUGGAAGGAUUGACAGAUUGAGAGCUCUUUCUUGAUUCAGUGGGUGGUGGUGCAUGGCCGUUCUUAGUUGGUGGAGUGAUUUGUCUGGUUAAUUCCGAUAACGAACGAGACUCUAGCCUACUAAAUAGAUCGUCGGCUUACAAACGCCGACGAGACUUCUUAGAGGGACAGGCGGUGAUUCAACCGCACGAAACAGAGCAAUAACAGGUCUGUGAUGCCCUUAGAUGUCCGGGGCCGCACGCGCGCUACACUGAAGUGAUCAGCGUUGCUUUUUCAACCUACUCUGUCAAGAGUGGGGGAACCCAAUGAACCUUCUUUCGUUGAUUGGGAUAGGGGAUUGUAAUUAUUCCCCUUGAACGAGGAAUUCCCAGUAAGCGCGAGUCAUAAGCUCGCGUUGAUUACGUCCCUGCCCUUUGUACACACCGCCCGUCGCUACUACCGAUUGAAUGUUUUAAGUGGAGGUCUUCGGACUGGCCGGUGCAGCUACUUCUUGUAGUGGCAGCGCUGUGUUUGAAAGAUGCCAACUUGGACCAUUAGAGGAAGUAAGUCGUAACAGGUUUCGUAAGUGACUGCGAGAUCAGGCGAAUUCGUUACUGCAGACAUGUCUAUGGAGUAUUCACUGUGUCGUAGUACGCAAGCU